UGUGAGUUGAUUCUUUCACUAAAACUUCGUCGCGUUAGUCAUCAUUAAACAAACAUAGUAAAGCUUCAUCGGACGGAUUAAACAACUAUAUUUCUGUCACUCGAGCUGUUAGAGAUGAACAAGAUGAGGUUGCUGCUAUUGGGGCUUUGUUUCACGUUUACAGCCAGCCCGGAACUUUCACCUUAUAAAGGUAUGUUGCAAAUCAUACGUUAUCGUUUGUGCAUAAGAUCAUCUGGAGUUCUUGUUUAUGCAAUUUAUUUGGUUAAAAUCAUCUUGUGUGUUUGUAAAUUAUGAAGUCAUAUUUAGUUCUUUAAGUAUUUAAGCUAAAUCCUUUUAUCAGUUUUAUCCAUGCAAAUUCUUCACAUAAUGUUUGCUGACGUUAUGCCAUUUUAAGCCUCCGGCUUUGGUUGCUCUCAAGUAUUUCUCAGAGUUUGAUAUGUUGACAAAUGUUAAAUGUUAAAAAUUUCGGCUGUUGUCAUGUCAUUGCAUGUUACAAAAAUUCAUUGCCUUACCGGUGAAUUCCACGGCAAAUUUCACGAAGAAAAAAAAACGAUAUUGCACGAAUCGAUGAAUGUGAAAUUACGAAAAAUAGUCAGUCGAUGCAGCCUGCUAUUACUUAGAAUAGCGUAUUUAAGCGCCAUGAAACAACGACCCUUGAAAUUACUCGUAACUCAAGAUACAGUAAGUGCAAGCACGCGCUCUAUGGUUAACGAAAAAAUAUAUUUUAGCAUAAAGCUUGAAGUGAACAAAACGUAUUAUAAUAGAAGAUUACAAAGCCUGUACUUGAAGAGUGCUGUUUAAUUGAGGGAAUGAUGUCAUAAUUCGUCCUUACUCAUGAAGCAGAAACUUUGGUUUAUUAUAAGUUGAGAGCACUUGUUUACAAUUACCUUAACGCAUCCAGAACGAAAAUAAAAGAUAACAGAAGACAAUAAACAGUAAAUGUCUCAAGUCCAAUAAUCGUGCUGUUAAGAAGCUCCUUCUUAAGAAUUAUACAUUAUGCAGUACCAUAUCUAAUAAAAUUGAAGUGACGUCCUUAUCCAUCAACCAAGAAACUGGUUGAUAAGUUGAAAGGCUUUGUCUACAAUCAUCCUGAUUUGGCGUGAACGAAGCAUGAAUUUUUGUAACUCUUCUCAAUUGAUGCGAGGAAACUUUGCACUGCAUCAAUGAAGCAAGUGAAACUUAGCAACAAGAACAAGAACAAAAUGUAACAAGAACAUAAAGGUCAAUUAUUAUUAUGAAUCAGCAAGAAAUUUAAAACAGGAUUUUACAGAAAG